GCAAUUUCAGCAGCACAUAUACUAAAAUUGGAAUGAUACAGAGAAGAUUAGCAUGGACCCUGUGAAAGGAUGACAGAAUUAUCUAGCAUGGCAUCAUUUCUAU
ensembl:snRNA U6 U6 spliceosomal RNA